rnacentral:rRNA from 1 species
UACGUAGGGCGCAAGCGUUUGUCCGGAAUUAUUGGGCGUAAAGAGCUCGUAGGCGGUCUGUUACGUCCGCUGUGAAAACCCAGGGCUUAACCCUGGGCUUGCAGUGGAUACGGGCAGACUAGAGGCAGGUAGGGGAGAAUGGAAUUCCCGGUGUAGCGGUGAAAUGCGCAGAUAUCGGGAGGAACACCGGUGGCGAAGGCGGUUCUCUGGGCCUGACCUGACGCUGAGGAGCGAAAGCGUGGGGAGCGAACAGG